rnacentral:rRNA from 1 species
UACGUAGGUGGCAAGCGUUGUCCGGAUUUAUUGGGUUUAAAGGGUGCGUAGGCGGUUCUGUAAGUCAGUGGUGAAAUACUCCAGCUUAACUGGAGGGGUGCCAAUGAUACUGCAGAACUUGAGUACAGAUGAGGUAGGCGGAAUUGACGGUGUAGCGGUGAAAUGCAUAGAUAUCGUCAAGAACACCUAUAGCGAAGGCAGCUUACUGGGCUGUAACUGACGCUGAGGCACGAAAGCGUGGGGAGCAAACGGG